AUUUUCUUUCCAUGUCUACGUACAGUAGGUUUUCUCCAGGCACUCUGGUUUCCUCCCACAUCCCAAAAACAUGCACGGCAGGUUAAUUGAAGACUAAACUACUCGCAGGUGUGAAGGUGAGUAUGAAUGGUCGUUUGUUUAUAUGUGCCCUGCAAUUGAUUGGCAACCAGUUCUGUGUGUACCCCACCUCCUGAGAGCACUUCCGCAACACUUGUGAAGAUAAGCAGCUCAGAAAAGGGCAGGAUGAAUAUAUGCGGAAGAAAUGUGUCGUGAACGACGUUGACUUGCCUCAUAGCUCAAAACCAAAGACAGGUCUCGAGAAGCUCCCUGCUAAAGUUGGGAAGGCCUGGACGAGUGUAGUUCAACUACACACAGAAAAGUGGUGUGAUUAUGAGUGCGACUGCCGUCUGUCUCCAUGUGCCCUGCGUUUGGCUGGCAACCUGUUCAGGGUGUACCCCGCCGCCUGCCUGAUGAGACCUGGGAUAGGCUCCAGCACUCCCGCGACCCUCAUGAGGAUAAGCAGCUCAGGAGAUGGAUGGAUAUAGUUUCGAAAAUAUAUGGCCUUUUAAGACAAUGCCACAGUAUUUUAAUCAAAUUCAACUCCGGACUUUGACUCGGCCACUUCAAAACCAUUCAGAAGUUGUCUUGGUGGUGUGGUUUGGAUCAUUGUUGGUUGGAUGGAUGGAUGGAUGGAUGGAUGGAUGGAUGGAUAAGUGGCGAGUUACUAUGCCACCACUGAAGACUUUGUGUCUGAAUGAGGUGUAAA